GAAAUGCGAUAAGUAAUGUGGAUUGCAGAAUUCAGUGAAUCAUCGAAUCUUUGAACGCACAUUGCGCCCGCCAGUAUUCUGGCGGGCAUGCCUGUCCGAGCGUCAUUUCAACCAUCAAGCCCCCGGGCUUGUGUUGGGGACCUGCGGCUGCCCGCAGGCCCUGAAAACCAGUGGCGGGCUCGCUGUCACACCGAGCGUAGUAGCAAUCACCUCGCUCAGGGCGUGCUGCGGGUUCCGGCCGUUAAACAGCCUUACAAAACCCAAGGUUGACCUCGGAUCAGGUAGGAAGACCCGCUGAACUUAAGC
rnacentral:misc_RNA from 1 species